UGGGGAAUAUUGGGCAAUGGGGGAAACCCUGACCCAGCAACGCCGCGUGAGGGAAGAAGGUUUUCGGAUUGUAAACCUCUGUCCUGAAGGAAGAAGGAAGUGACGGUACUUCAGGAGGAAGCCCCGGCUAACUACGUGCCAGCAGCCGCGGUAAUACGUAGGGGGCGAGCGUUGUCCGGAAUUAUUGGGCGUAAAGGGUGCGUAGGCGGCCAAGUAAGUCAGAUGUGAAAUGCCAGGGCUUAACCCUGGAGCUGCAUUUGAAACUGCAUGGCUUGAGUGCAGGAGAGGGAAGCGGAAUUCCUAGUGUAGCGGUGAAAUGCAUAGAUAUUAGGAGGAACACCAGUGGCGAAGGCGGCUUUCUGGACUGUAACUGACGCUGAGGCACGAAAGCGUGGGGAGCAAACAGG
rnacentral:rRNA from 1 species